rnacentral:lncRNA from 1 species
GCUCUUUUCUAUGACAUAAACAGCAGGGUGCUGAAUCCAGCAAGGGAGUUGCAUUUUGCGUAGCUGUCAACAAGUCAAGCCUCAUCAGACCUCUCACUGAAACACUCAAAAAUGAAGAGGGCUUCACCAGGAUUUGCAAUGUGCAACGCACAGGUCCCUCUGCUUUGAGUACAAGAGAGACAGCUGUGAAGAAAGAGGAGCUCUGUAAUUGCAUCAUGCCCAGAGAGAGGCAUCAAUAAGCAGAAACAAUGUCAUCCCUACUACUUCUGUACAUCCGGCUUCAUACGCGCUUGAAACACUGAUGAUGGUGAAGGCUGUGGGCAGUGGCAGGAUGAAGCAGACACCAGGACUUCGCUCACCCACCAAGCUGGAUGUGCCUGUGCUGAUAUCCUGGGGCAGAGCAUCCUAAAGAGCUCUGCAAGGGGAAGAGAACACAGCAAAGUCCAGGAGGUGACAGCAAGGAGCUUGGUUCAUGCUGUUCUUAGGCAGAAGGGCUUCUGCAUGCAAGAGAGAAUCACAUGGUGGGGUAAGAGCACUCCUGCUCCCCUGCAUCCACUCUCCCGGUUCCCUCUCCUUCCACAGACUUGCAUUCAUACUUGACCUUUUCACUUAACUCUUACUCCAUGGUGAGCACGGAAGUAGUUUGCCUCACGACAACAUUCAUAGAGAGUACUGUGCAUUUCAGAACCACUGAGGAGAGAGCACUGACUAC